rnacentral:rRNA from 1 species
UGGCUCAGAUUGAACGCUGGCGGCAUGCCUAACACAUGCAAGUCGAACGGCAGCACAGCAGUAGCAAUACUGUGGGUGGCGAGUGGCGGACGGGUGAGUAAUGCAUCGGGACCUACCCAGACGUGGGGGAUAACGUAGGGAAACUUACGCUAAUACCGCAUACGUCCUACGGGAGAAAGCGGGGGAUCGAAAGACCUCGCGCGGUUGGACGGACCGAUGUGCGAUUAGCUAGUUGGUAGGGUAAUGGCCUACCAAGGCGACGAUCGCUAGCUGGUCUGAGAGGAUGAUCAGCCACACUGGGACUGAGACACGGCCCAGACUCCUACGGGAGGCAGCAGUGGGGAAUAUUGGACAAUGGGCGCAAGCCUGAUCCAGCAAUGCCGCGUGUGUGAAGAAGGCCUUCGGGUUGUAAAGCACUUUUAUCAGGAACGAAAUACCACGGGUUAAUAUACCUAGGGGGCUGNCGGUACCUGAGGAAUAAGCCCCGGC